GGGGGAAUAUUGCACAAUGGGCGCAAGCCUGAUGCAGCCAUGCCGCGUGUGUGAAGAAGGCCUUCGGGUUGUAAAGCACUUUCAGCGAGGAGGAAGGGUAGUGUGUUAAUAGCACAUUGCAUUGACGUUACUCGCAGAAGAAGCACCGGCUAACUCCGUGCCAGCAGCCGCGGUAAUACGGAGGGUGCAAGCGUUAAUCGGAAUUACUGGGCGUAAAGCGCACGCAGGCGGUUUGUUAAGUCAGAUGUGAAAUCCCCGCGCUUAACGUGGGAACUGCAUUUGAAACUGGCAAGCUAGAGUCUUGUAGAGGGGGGUAGAAUUCCAGGUGUAGCGGUGAAAUGCGUAGAGAUCUGGAGGAAUACCGGUGGCGAAGGCGGCCCCCCUGGACAAAAGAC
rnacentral:rRNA from 1 species